GCUCCACCUGCUCGGUUGGCGGAGCAGCGCUAGCUGCAACCACCGUGGGGGCAGAUGGCGUGACUGCCGACUCACUGACUGUGGGUCGGACAGCCGCCGGAGGCCGUUGUGACGCUGCCCCCUGACGCGCCACAUCGGCAAAGGUUUUCUUUGGCAGGAGGGGCACGACCGCGAGUACGCGGCGUGGUCCCCGUCACAGUUUACACAGUGUAGAGAGUUCUUACAUGCUUCAGUGGCGUGUUCAAGGGCACUGCAUUUGGCGCAUGUUUGGCGGCCUCGGCAGCUCUGCGAGCUGUGGCCAAAACGUUGGCAUUUGAAACAUCUCAAGGGAUUCGGCACAUACGGCCUUAUACGAAGCUUGAUGUACCCGGCCUCGAUUGACUCGGGCAGGACACUGGAGUUGAAGCGUCCGUGGC
rnacentral:lncRNA from 1 species